GGCCUAACACAUGCAAGUUGAACGUGAAGCAUCUUCGGAUGUGGAAAGUAGCGCACGGGUGAGUAACACGUGGGAAUUUACACUUCAGUAAGGAACAACAGUUGGAAACGACUGCUAAUACCUUAUAAUGACUCCGGUCCAAAGAUUUAUNNNNGAAGGAUAAGCCCGCGUCUGAUUAGCUAGUUGGUGAGGUAAAGGCUCACCAAGGCGACGAUCAGUAGCUGGUUUGAGAGGAUGAUCAGCCACACUGGAACUGAGACACGGUCCAGACUCCUACGGGAGGCAGCAGUGAGGAAUAUUGGACAAUGGGCGAAAGCCUAAUCCAGCCAUGCCGCGUGAGUGAAGAAGGCCCUAGGGUUGUAAAGCUCUUUCAAUCGUGAAGAUAAUGACGGUAGCGAUAGAAGAAGCUCCGGC
rnacentral:rRNA from 1 species